rnacentral:lncRNA from 1 species
CUUUCCCAAAACAAAUCAAAUUUGAUAGCAUUCUUAACGUCUGUGAAUCAAAAACAUUUUCAACAAACUUUGACCUUACGUUUACCCUCCAUAUUCAGAGUUCGUGUCACAACAAUGUUAUCUCCCCAGUUCUAAAACCCCACAGCUUUUCCCGAUUAUCUUGAAAAGCAAAGCCGCCCUCCCUCUUCUUCAGUCUAAGACAAAGAGAAGUUGUAAAAGGGGGAGAUGAACCUUAUUAUAAGACCCAAAAGCUUACUCUUGUAGCUAUAUGUACAGUACAUGAAAUGGCCGUCAUUACUACCAGUGGGAGAUGAACCUUAUUAUGAGACCCAAAAGCUUACUCUUGUCGCUAUGUGUGUGAUAGAUGAAAAC